rnacentral:piRNA from 1 species
UGAGUUUCGGGCUCUAGAUGGAAUUGAGA